UUGAACGCUGGCGGCAUGCCUUACACAUGCAAGUCGAACGGCAGCACGGGAGCAAUCCUGGUGGCGAGUGGCGAACGGGUGAGUAAUAUAUCGGAACGUGCCCAGUCGUGGGGGAUAACGUAGCGAAAGCUACGCUAAUACCGCAUACGAUCUAUGGAUGAAAGCGGGGGAUCGCAAGACCUCGCGCGAUUGGAGCGGCCGAUAUCAGAUUAGGUAGUUGGUGGGGUAAAAGCCCACCAAGCCGACGAUCUGUAGCUGGUCUGAGAGGACGACCAGCCACACUGGGACUGAGACACGGCCCAGACUCCUACGGGAGGCAGCAGUGGGGAAUUUUGGACAAUGGGCGCAAGCCUGAUCCAGCAAUGCCGCGUGCAGGAUGAAGGCCUUCGGGUUGUAAACUGCUUUUGUACGGAACGAAACGGCGAGCUCUAAUACAGUUUGCUAAUGACGGUACCGUAAGAAUAAGCACCGGCUAACUACGU
rnacentral:rRNA from 1 species